rnacentral:rRNA from 1 species
CACGUAGGUAACCUGCCCAUGUGUCCGGGAUAACUGCUGGAAACGGUAGCUAAAACCGGAUAGGUAUACAGAGCGCAUGCUCAGUAUAUUAAAGCGCCCAUCAAGGCGUGAACAUGGAUGGACCUGCGGCGCAUUAGCUAGUUGGUGAGGUAACGGCCCACCAAGGCGAUGAUGCGUAGCCGGCCUGAGAGGGUAAACGGCCACAUUGGGACUGAGACACGGCCCAA